CGUACGGGAGGCUGCAGUGGGGAAUAUUGCACAAUGGGCGCAAGCCUGAUGCAGCCAUGCCGCGUGUGUGAAGAAGGCCUUCGGGUUGUAAAGCACUUUCAGCGGGGAGGAAGGCGUUAAGGUUAAUAACCUUGGCGAUUGACGUUACCCGCAGAAGAAGCACCGGCUAACUCCGUGCCAGCAGCCGCGGUAAUACGGAGGGUGCAAGCGUUAAUCGGAAUUACUGGGCGUAAAGCGCACGCAGGCGGUCAGUCAAGUCGGAUGUGAAAUCCCCGGGCUCAACCUGGGAACUGCAUUCGAAGCUGGCAGGCUAGAGUCUUGUAGAGGGGGGUAGAAUUCCAGGUGUAGCGGUGAAAUGCGUAGAGAUCUGGAGGAAUACCGGUGGCGAAGGCGGCCCCCUGGACAAAGACUGACGCUCAGGUGCGAAAGCGUGGGGAGCAAACAGGAUUAGAUACCCCGGUAGUC
rnacentral:rRNA from 1 species